AAAUAUCACAAGAUAUGACGCACCAGACACUCCAGCGGUUUGAGGCGGUUAAAAUCGGUUUUAAAACGAUUCAGAAGUCGAAUCAGCUAACAGACUCAAGAUGAACGCUCUGUAUUUCUUUGUGGUGCUCGCAGGAUUGGUCCAGACUAUUCGAAGUGAAACCUGCGACGCAUGCGCAGACACCUACACCACCGAGAAAGGCGCAGCUACUGAUGAUCCCGCAAAGUGCGCGGCGAUCAAGAAGUUUGUCGCUUGUCUGGUGGCCGCCAGUGGUGCAGGUUGUGCAACUGGCGUCAACGCCCCCGCAACCCAAU